rnacentral:sRNA from 1 species
CGACGCUCCUGGGGGACACAGGCACGCUGCUUUCCCUCCCAAGCCAGUGGGCCCCCACCCGACUCCCCACUCUGCAGCUUCCCAGAGGCCUUCCCAGCGAAGGCAGCCCACCUUGCUAAUGGAGUUGUAGUAGGGGUGCUUCUCGUCCAUCGGGGGCGGCGGGAUGUCGAAGGAGCGCCUCCAGAUCUUCACCUGCUCCUCCCCGUGCUUGGCGGCCGUUUCUGCCUUGUUGAGGCCUGUGAGGCCCCCGUAAUGCCGCUCAUUGAGGCGCCAAGUGCGCACCACGGGCAGCCACAUCUGGUCCGUGCCGUCCAGGAUGGCCCAGAGGGUGCGGAUGGCCCGCUUCAGCACUGACGUGUAGCAGAUGUCAAACUCCAUCUUGGCAUCCUUGAUGGCCUUGGCUCCCCGCUUGGCCUCCUCGGUCCCCUUUUCACUCAGCUCUGCAUCGAACCAGCCACAGAAACGGUUCUCCUGGUUCCAUGUGCUCUCGCCGUGCCGGACCAUCACGAGGCGGCUAGGAGGGGGCCCUCAGCAGGCAGAGGAGGAGAGCCAGAGGAGCUGGUGCAGACCACAGCUUUGCGGAGAGGAGUCUGGCCUUGUGGAAGGU